rnacentral:lncRNA from 1 species
AAUUUCUGCGCCUGAAAAAAUGAUCACCCAUCCAAGUGCCAACCACUCCCGACAUUGCUUGACUUCGAAGAUCGUACGCAUCUAGGUUCGAAACCAAGCUAUUUCACCACAAAACGAGUAAGACCCAACUCCAUAACUUAGUUUAACUAGAGUUUAAUUAACCCAUUAUCCAAUUAACUAAUUGAUAAGCAAAUUAAUUAAUAGGAGAAUGUGUUUUAUAUAAAAUAAUGGUUAAAUAGCUUGGAUUCAAAUCUAGGGGCAAAGUCUGUCGAUAACAAAAGUACAAAAAUACUGGUCUCGCCUUAACCCGGACCAUUGGCUAUCUGUUUAUUAUCUGUGCUGCUACUGUGUCGUUUGAUAAAUUAUAGUUUCUCUUUUAACAUUUUAAUGUUUAAUUUUAAACCAGUUUAAUUUUAAACUAGUUUGUAGCUUGAUUAAGAUAUAAGGCAAAAAUUAGCAAAAAUUUACUGACCUUUGCUAAUUCUUUUUUACAGUUUUAAUAACAUUUUGAAAUCAUUUUAUAAUUAUCAUUAUCUUAAAUUUAUUUUAAAAUACGGGAGUAAUCGUUGCAUAAGUUUUUUGGAUUUUGCUGAAGAUUAUAAAUAACACGAUUCUACUAAAGGUUACAGAUAACUCGAUGUAUACAGACUGAUAAUAUCUGUUCUGGCCGUUUCGGCCAAACAAUUUCUGGCCCCUUUCAAGUGAAACUAAAAGUAUUUUUAUGUUAUCGCCAAAUAUAUAUACAUAUUUGUAAUUUUGUUUUAUUUAUUUUUUAAUAUUAUUUCAACAUUAUAUCUUUUAUUAUAAUUUUCCCAAAAAUGCUUCUGCUUAAUAUUAUUUAAUAAUUGGCAGCUUAAAUGUAAUAAUGUGUAACAAAGAUAAUAUUACUUUUUAUUAAAAAAAAAGUGUACUUAUGUAAUUUGUGGUGUAUAUUUGUGAUGUAUUUGUAGUGUAUAUUGAAGUGACAGAACAAGAGGUACACAAUAUAAAAUAAACUUUAAAACUUGUAUAUAGUUAUUACGAUUUUCUAAGGAAAAUUUGUUACGAAAGACUUGUUAUGGUGAUAACAAUUAUUUUACAUUUUUAUAAAUGUUUAUAUUAAUGGGUUUUGCCAUUUGUAUUAUACGUAAAGGAGAAGGUGGUAAUCUAAUGGUCAUCCAUUUACAUUUUGUACAAUAACUUUGUUAAUAACUAAUAUUUUAAAUUGAAAUUUAACAGUUAUAUUCAUUAAAGUGUUGUUCAUUAGAUUUUAGAUUCAAAGUUAUGAAAUAUUUACUAUAUUAUAUAUUAUUAUUAUUGUUUAUAAACGGAUACUGCAUAAUGAGUUGAAGAGGAAAAGAGAUGAUAAUAUAUGGCCACUACAAAAAUAAAUGUAAAAAAUUUGUUAUAUUUUAAAAAGUCAAUAUUUUGUUCUAAAAUUAUAUAUUUAUGUAAAAUAAAUUGUUAAUAUAGAAAAAACUAGCAUAAUUGUAAAGAGAGAUAAAGAUACAGCGUCCAUUAGCAAAAACUCGUUGGCACUAGCAGCACUGAAUGCUUAAAGCGUCUUUCAUUGGGAGCAGUAAUGAGUGAGUUCUAAAUGUUGAACGUUUCAUUGGGAGUGCAAAAUGCUCUCAGUGCGCACUGAGUGCGGUAAAACUGGCUCCGAGUUUAGAGGUCGGGGCUACUUCAAUGUUACGUUAUUUAAAUUCUUCACUGCUGCGACGAUGGACUUAUUUGUAGUAAAUAAAUUUUUAGAAUCGUCUUCAUCAAGUGAAGACAAAAUUGUGUUAUUUAAAAAAGUGACAAAAAGAAACAAAAAAUUACUGAUUAUAUUAAUAUUAUUCAUUUAAAAAUAGAUGAUCAGAAAAACGAAGAGAGAUAAAAGUUUCCACGCGCACUGCUUUCAACCCGACUGAAAUUUGUCAGACUAAUGAGAUCGUUGACGGUUCCUGCUCUCUUCGAUUUCUUCGGUACCUACACAACUUUUAGCUGGGCCUCGCCUUUCCUCGUAGAACGCGGUCGAUGUACCCGUUACUCGUAACUGGUUGAAGAUCAUCUUUCUCUUCUCAUAUAUCAGUCAGUUAAAAAAAAAGAAUGACGAUGUAGAUACUGAUGUUGGAAAGUAACAGCUUCAUGAAUAAUUGUAUUAGUCGUCACAAGAUAUAAUAGGAGAAACAAUUUUUCAAAAAUGAGGACG